AAGACUAUGCUUUCAGGGAUCAUUUCUAUAGUUUCUGACUUGGAAGUUUGAUUUGAAAGUGUAACGUCUCUCUAACCACGAUGACGAGUUAAGAUGCUUUCUUCUGAGCGUGAAUCGGGUGGUGAGCGACGAGCGAGAUUGUCUGCUCUCUGUCAUUGAUGAACGUUCCUGCUGUGCUUUGCAGUCUGGAAGAAGAAAGCAUGUUCAGAGUGGUU
ensembl:snoRNA ACEA small nucleolar RNA U3